ensembl:lncRNA
AUGCAGUGCUUUAUAUCAGAUUUACACCCAACUAGAGCAAAGAUCCUGAUGAUGUUUCUCCUCUUAGCUCUCAACUCUACAGUCCAGAUUACGCCUGGGGAAUCUCUGGUGCUGGAUGUGGACGUCCUAGAUCCAGUGGAGGUGCUUUAUGAGAGCGCCGAGGCAGGUGGUUCUUCCAGUGGUCAGAUCUGUACAGUGGAUGGACGCUCACUACAGUGCAGUGUUGAUUAUAAACAGAGAGUGUUGUUCUCACCUGCUCUUGAGCUGAAAGGAAUGAAUCUGUCUGAUGAUGGAGUUUACACCAUCCGGGAUUUGAGAACUAAGCAGGACAUUCAUGUCUACACAGUGACCGUCAGAGAUGAUCCACAUCCGCCUGAAGAACAGAAGAUUGUUUUGUCAGUGCUGGGGUUGACAGGGAUAGUGGUGGGGACUGCACUUAUUCCCACUGUCAUAUAUUCUGUGAUUUUGUUUAUAUGUAAGAGGAGAAGCAGUCUGUGUGUGCGAGAUUGUGAGAUUAACGAUAUUAGAGGAAAUGGACAGAAUAAUCAGAAUACAGAAGAAGAGAACAUCCUGCCACCUGACCAACAAUAACCAGAUUCCCAGGGUGUGAGGCAGGGCAGCAGUUAUGUUCCUGUGUGGAUUUAUAUAUAUAUAAUGCUGGAUUUAUAGCUCCUGACUUUCAGCUCAAUAUAAAAAACAGAAACAUUCAUGAAUCUUCCUGUGUUUAUUCACAUUUCUUUAAAUGUAACAAUAUGAAAUGAGGAAACUGACAAGCCUAUGGCAAUAUCCAACAAGGAUAUCACUGCUGUAGGAGCAAAACCUCAUAUCUCCAAAAUGGUAACUUUGCAGGAGAAGGACAAACCAUGCAUUACUUUCAAUGUAAGUCAAUGGAACCAGAGUUUUUUCCAAGUAAUUUUUGCCCAUUUAUUUUAGUCCAUUCUUCAUGAAAUUUACACACAAUAUAAAGGCCAAUGUGCCUUUUCAAAUUCUGUCAAAAACUGAAAAUCGACCAAAAAAUGGAGAUACAAGUUUUGUUCCCGACAACAGCGAUAUAAAAGUGUAGUUAGUUUAAAGCUGCACUAUGUAAGCUUUUUGUGAAAAGUUUCCCUGUAAAGCUUGAAAUCACUUUUAAAAGUAAGAGGCAUCAGUUUGGGAGUUUUUCACAGCACGCCAUCCGUUUUUACAUGUUAACGUCACAUAAACAGACUCGAAAUAAAGGUCCGGCGCGAUGUUUAGGUCUCAAAUAACCUCAAAGUCAAGAUUAUACUGAUGACGAUGUGAUGAUAGUAGUAGGUAAUCCACUCACAUCCUCAGAAGAUGCUCCUUCACCACGUUUACUCUGAGUUCUCUUUGAAUUCUCUUUCAAUCAUCUGAUUCAUCCUCUCGGGGAAGGGGGCCGAAGCACAACCCACCCUACAGAAUGUUCUUCCACACACUGGGAGUGCAGUUACACACACACAGUUACACCAAAUCCCCAAAACUUACAGAGUAGCAGAGUAUUAAUAUACUGCCUUUGGUGCAGUAUUGAUCUUCAUGAAGUUUAUUGACUGUUUUUAAUCCAGUGUUUCUAAAUGAUACAGAAACUCUAAUUACUGGCCUAAUAGAUUUUUGUUUAUGCUGUGAUUGUAUGCAUUACAUAUAAAAAUACAUCCAAUAUGACUUGAAUCGUCUUAUUAAACUGACUAACAUGAACGUGACAUGUUUGUCGUUCACUUUCUGUUCAUUGUGGUAAAAUGACAAAGUAAAGGUGAAGAAAAAACCCUGUGGAGUAGAGAAAUGUCCCUUCCAUGGGGGCCUGUGGUCAUUAAAACGUCUUAAUUUAUGUGAAAUUGCAUGUUACAAGUUAAACCCUUUAUACGCAUUAAAGUGUCUUUAAUUUGAAUUGACAUGGUCUAAAAUUUUAGGAUACAGACAAGCUGUUUGUUUUAAUGGAGCACCAUCUCACACACAGGGAACAAAACUGUUUUUGAUACAUAAACCUGCGCAUAUUAAGAGCAGAUUAAAGGAAAAUAUAGAACAUGAGCUUCUCCACUGAGUCCAUCAGGGUUCAGGUGCCUUUCUAGACUUAACUGGAGAGUCAGAUUCAAACUUCUCUGUGCGCUUCAGAUGUUUUCAGGACAUCAUCACAAGCAGCUGUAAUAUCUCUAUGAAAAUGAUUCAGGUCUAAUCUGCCGUAACUGUGUGUACUGGGCUGUAAUGUCUGAAAUGCCCUCAGUAACUGGUCAAUAAGAUAUUAAUACUAAUGCUUAUAAAUGCAACAAUUAUACACCCACAUCUGUCUAUAAAUCACCAAAAUCUGUAAACAGUCAAAAAUAAAGAAAUGAAAAAUGUGCAGUUUUGCCCUAUUUAGCCACCAGAGGGCAGCAGUGUUAAUAACCCUCAGCACUAUGCUGAUCAGACUGUACCAGCUAAUAAACAGAAUAAACUAAUGAAAUAAAAAUGAGCUACAGUGAGGUGCCCAGUGGAGCAGAGCAGGGAUGGUCCAGCUUGUCAGCGCUGUCAGCUGCAGUUAUACAGUUUUAUGCAUACAGUCUGUAAGGAGAAGUUCUAAAGCGCUGGUUUAUUUAUCUAGAACAGUGUGAAAACUGAAGGAACCUGGUUCUUUAGGUACAAAUGUAAGAUGAAUGUGGAGUCAAGGGGCCUUGAGGAAUGACUUCAGCGAGACUGACAGGUGGUGAAUGUACACACAUUCAGGUUUUGAACUUUAUUUCUCAGUGAAAUAGUUACUGUAAUUGCACUAUAUCAGCUAUAGAAGUUGGCCCAUGUAUAUAAUAAAGUAUAUUAUCUAAUAUAAUACAAUAUAAUACACAGACUGGCCACUUCAUUAUGUCCAUCUCCUUGUAUCUCCACUCAUUGUCCAGCUUAUCAGCUUCACUGUCCUUAUACAUACUCAAACAAAUGAGUGUUACUACAAAUCUUACAUCAUUAAACAAUUUAAACAAUGAUUUAAACAUUAAACUUUAAUAAAAAUGAAACAUAAAUUCAGAGAAGGGCGUUUUUAUGACCUUUCACUUACAUUAGCUUUGUAGCUUGAAUGUAAAACUAGUGUGGUUCUUUUGUUUGUUGUACAUGUAUUUAUUCUGUGUUUGUAAAAACUUUUACGAACAUGAUUUGCUUGUAAGAACAUAAUAAAUAUAUGGAAUCUUCCAAUUUUCCUAACUUUCCAGAGAAGUUUGGAUAUUUUAUAAAAUGUAAUAAAAACAAGAAUCUGUCAUUUAUUCAUGUUCCCAAACCUUUACACUGACAAUCUUACAAAUAAAUGACUUUUAGGGUUUUGGUGACCAAACUGAGAGAAUUUUGUAAAUACAGACAAAUGUGAACACACAAAAAUAGGGAUGAGGCAUAAUAAGAGUCCCUUUCCAGAAGGUAAAAGCUUUGUAAAGCUUGGUGGGUCCAUGGGAAGCUCCUUGACUCCUGUCUGUUGUUGUUUAUUCUUUUAUUUUGUAACUUCCCCUCAAAGCUCUUAUUCUAACACUGCACAGCAGCUUUAAGGCAUUUGUCCUGUACCUUAAGACGAUCGGCUCUCAAGUGAGCUGCUCUCAUGAGUGUUGGGUUCACAGGUUCUGUUGAAGAACGUGGACGAUAUUCAGGUAACGCUGCUUUAAACCAACAGUCCAGCCACAGUGAAAAAACUGACCAUCGCCACCGUUUGGCCUGUUUCAAUGCGUCCACCCUUGAUCCCCACUUCCCUAAAACAGAUGUAAAGAAAGGAAAGUAAAACAUUUCAGCUUGUCUGUACAGAAAGAGCGCAGAGUUCACAGCACAGCAGAAGGAAGGUAAGUUUAUUACAGCUUAUAGCAGCAUGAGCAGCGUUUUAGGUUCUGGUCUGAAUUUUAACUUCAACCAACU